UCCCAUCGACCCCUUGAUCACUUCCCUUCGUCCUCUCGCUGCGAAAUCUUGUCCUGUGCCCUCCCAUCGCUUCAAAUUGCUCAAAUCUGUGCUUAUAUAUAUGACGCAUGCAAACAACAUGAUAUCUCUGUGCCGCACGCAAACAAGGUGAUACUUCUGUGUCGCACGCAAACAACGUUAGAGCGAGGAGCCGCGGAUGGUAGGGUGAGAAUUGGCAAGAAGAUGAUGGCACAUUGAACAGCGUAUCACAAUUGUAUCCUGGCUAGACUUGUGCGCAAUCGAAUUGCGAGGUAGGAGCGGAUCUGAAUGAUGUAUAGGACGGAAGACUUCUAUAACCUGGAAUAUGGUAACACUGAACUUUAGUCGGAGAUUACAUUACACUUGCAAUGCUCUUGAUUGAACUGUCAACAGAACAUCGUACUCAGAUUUGGUAACCUCCUGACGAGCUUCACCAGGCUUGUUAUCAGAGUCAACACACCAGCUGCCUCGAGAUAAGAAAUUUCUUUGGUGUCACUGAUCAAUCACAACAUGAAGGAUGACACAGGAUCGACUGCAGGAAUUUCUUUCGUAAGAGCAAAGUAUCAUGAAUAUUCGAGAUAAGUAGCAAAAAAUAGCACUUUUACCUUUGAAGAGGAACACCUGAAGCAUAAUUGCGGUUGUCCGAACCAACCAACGAGUAGAAGCUUCCAUUCACUUGUAAUACGUUCUGGAAGACCACGUUGUUCAUCAUCGACAACAAGUCCAAUUUAGAACGACUCAUAUCAGAUAACGUCAUCUUGGACAAGCAUGUAAUAGACAGAAGAACGAGGAAAGGUGAUCUUGGAUAUUCCGCUUCUAUCUCACCAUCUUCUAUUUCAUGUAAAUGGUCACCGAAGCCGGGUAAAUCCUUUGUUGUUUUUUUUUAAUCUUACUUCUGAUACCAAUGUUGAGUAGAUAUUGUAAGCCCUGUGUGUGUGUGUGUGUGUGUAGUGCUGAAUACAGUAAGGUACACCAUUGUUUGUUAGUAGGUUCAGUAUUGAGUCACCUCGGACUUGCUUGAACUAGUGUCUUGCAUUCAUUGUUGAAUUUUGAAUUUGGAGGUGGAAAUCUUCGUGUUGGAGCCUCUCCAUCUUUGCUUUUGGACGACCCCAAAAUCAGUCAAAUUGGAGUUAGAACGAAACUUUUUGACAACAAUUGAAGUGGUAAACUGGCCCUUCGUACCUUGGAUCACCCAACCAACUUAUGAGAGAAGCAAUGAUGAACUGUGAAAUAUUGGAUUGCUACAAAUACUGGUGUUGUUAAACUUCAGCAACAAGCAAAGGAUUGUUCCAGCAGUUGGUGUCGUAGUCUAAGGGUUUCAAGCAAUCCUUACAGCUUAGCCCUUUGCGUCCCCUUGUAUACUUCCCUUCGCCCUCUCGCAGCAAAACCCUCGCUGCAGUGUGCUGUCUUCUCGCUUCGAAUUGCUCAAAUUAGCGCUUAAAUACAUGACAUCGUGACAUCAUUGUAUCGCAUGCAAACAACGUGAAAGAUUACGAGGUUGGCAUAUCAUAUCUAUAAUAAAAUAUCAAGAAUUAGUAUUAUUAGA